rnacentral:lncRNA from 1 species
CAAAGAGCCAGAAGGUGCUCACCUUGGAUGUAAUUUUUCAUGUAGCUCCUCAGCUGUCUCCAACUCGGUGAAUUCAGUUCUAAGUUUUGCACUGAACGUUUUCUGGUCUUUUGUUCUAUUGAGAAGGCGGAGAACUUUGAAACGCAGAUACACAGGAAAACUUGCACCCAUUUCCUACCUAUCCUGAAACUGGAUGCCAAGCCUUAGCUCAAAGGAAAACCUGUUAAUUGUAUGCACCAAAAAAUGGCAGGCUGCUGAUUUUUUUAGACUUCAGGACCUUCCAAAGGUUAUAAAUGUUACCAGCUGAUGACCAAAAAGAAAAAAAUACUUCCACAAAGUGAAUGAAAUCCACGGGUCCUGAUUACCUAAAAGGAAAAACAGCCUGAAUUCAGUUCCAGUAGCAGAAUUCUGUGUUUGCUGUGUUUUUAGCAGUCCAGAUGGCUCUCUCUUAUUUACGUGUCCCAUCUAAACAAUCACUGCUGCAUUGUGGCAAUGCUUGUCACUGUUGUGACAACAGGACAGGGAGAUCUCUCCCCUCAGUUAUAAAUCACAAAUCACUGAGGGCAGCUGCAGCCUCUGCUUCUUCAUCAUCCGCUUCAAGACAGGCAUUUUAGUGAAAGAUGGGAAUCUAUUAACUUUGCUGGCUGAGCUAUGCUAAGUGGAAAGAGAUGAAAGACGGAGUAAUGAAAAGGAGAGAGCUCAGCAUCGUGACUGACCUGUGCAAAGAACAGUCCUGAUGUCCUGCUCACAAAUGAAUUAUUCAGCUGCCAGGUCUUGCCUGCAACUCCACUGAAACACACAGGUCAACCUAGCCCCAUCCUGUGCAGUUUCUUGGCAACACAUUCAGGUUGGUGAAAGUAGACAGAAUUGUUAGUUUUGGGGGUAUUGGGUUAAAAAAUUGUUUAUAUCACUAGCAGUACUUGAGUGAAAGAGAAAUCCAAGGUAAAGUGCAAUAUAUUGCACUUCAAAAUGCAAUAUUUUGAAUAAUUUUCAAAUAAGUAAAUCAAUCUCUCUAGGAAGACUAAACUGUUCUUACUAAAACUACUAUGGCAGUCAUCUCAAUAAUAAAGAAAACAACUGUGCUAAUCUAAAAUUUGGUGAAGGUCUAGCAAGGAAACCACGAUGUACAUAACAACUCACAAAGGUUAAGAGCUGCUUAGUGUGAUCUCAAGAAAUUCAUCAGGUCUAAUUAAGCUGAUGGUGCAUGGGCUCUCCACAGAGAAAAUUACAAGUGAAACAAGUUUAAAAGGGGAAAACUACAAACGUAUUAAAAUCUGUGUAAGUUACUUGUCAAAAUACAGGUUUUUCAGCUUCUCCCAGAUCAACAAGAUCUGGACAUGGACCCCCUUAUCCAGUCCAAGUUGAGAUAGCAUUCUCUUCUCUCCCUCAGGAGCACUGAUAGCAACAACCAAGGUUCAAGGAAACUGGGAGCACAACAAAUGGAAGAAUAUAAAGGGUUCCACAACUUAGAAAUUCAGAAGCAUUUUGGACAACCAUACGCAAGCAA